GCGCCCUGAUGGGGACCCAGGCCUGGGAGGAGCCUGCAACCGAGGUUUCUGGAAGAGGGGUCACGGCUUUCAUUAAACUGGCUCCACCAGGUUCCCUGGACACUGCAGCCACACCCACAAAUACCAGGGCCUUUCCAAAACCAAGACACGGAGCCAAAGAUGGGAGCAGCUCAGAUCUGCAUCUCCUCCCAUGAGGGCCAGGCUUUCUCCAAAGUGAGGAGAGAACUUCACACAAGAAAACGGGAGAUAAGACUCGCGGAUCAGUGAGCGGACCUGCCCCAACACACACCCAGCGAAUGGAGUACGUGGCGGGUGGCCAUAGAGGCCAAGAAUCAGACGUGGGAGGGCGUGUGGAGUCCAUAGUGCAGCUCCCGCAAAAAAUGGCCAAAGGACCUGCAGAACGGAUGAAGGUUCUGGAGAAUGUACAUUGAGAAACAGCGAUUCCAUCCAACCUGCCCGAUUGACUUAAUACAUGUGCUACGGGUGCCCGGGUCAGGAUGCUGUGAGCAGCAUCAGCCCUCCUGUGGCCUUGGAUACGUCCCUUAAUGUCUCCACAACCCACUGUCUUCGUCUGCAACGUGGAGCCGGAGAGAGAACUCGCCUCAAUGCUGCUGGGGAGGAUUCAGUACCGGCUCUCACAUGAGUGCACCUGGAGGGAAACUGGAAAUAUCACUGAAUUAUGAUUCGGUCACAGUCAUGCAAUGGAGAUGGCCUGGCGAUUAAACACAACAAAAGAAAGAGUUAGAUUCUAAUAGAAGCUCAAACCCAGACAAAAAGAAAACCCAAAUCCGGUCCCCGUGAGCCAAGUGAAGACCACAUCAGCACUGCACGAUGAGGCCAGCGUUUCUGGAGCGCUAACAGUGCCUGGCACGUCAACUGGAGCCAAAGGGACAGGGUAGCUGAGUUUUUACGAUCAAUUGUAUCGAUCCAGGAAAACGGAAACCAAAAUAACUCUGUGAGAAAGGAACACUGGGAAGAUCAAUUAGAAUAAAAAUUGGUACUCAAGUGUGGAGGGGGAUUGCAUAGAAGGAGCAGAGAGCACUUCCGAUGACCUGAACUCCUCUGAUGAACGGGCUUAUGGUGCUGCCGUCUGCCUCCCUCACCACCACACGAGCCCUGGAAGAGGUCCUGCACCCGGCGGCUCUCAGUCAGUGUCUGAGGAGUGAGUGAGUGACUGAGUGGACAUCCCUCCUGUUUGCCAGGCUUCUGUCACAUGGUGCCCCAGCCUGUUGACUGCUGUGUCGAACUGAUCCAGUGGGAUCCACAGGGCCUCUGAUAUGGAUACGGAGAGAACAAUACCUGCCCACGGGACUUGCUCCCGUGAGAUAAAGGACCUCACUGGCUAGCAGUCAGCAACUGAAGCAAGCUGGGACUCCCUCCAGAGGGGUCUCAAGGAGAGUGGCUGUAGCAACAGAAUCGUGGUAAAUGACAGCCGCAUGGGAAACCCUGGGUGAAGCCAGGGCAGGUGCUCACUUGCUCAGUCCUAGCCUCUCCCCUCCCUCCAGCGAUGCACCUCUGAGCAGCACAGUUCCAGGAUUUCAGUGCUAAGUGCCAGAGGCAGGCUUGGAGGGCCAGGCUUGGAGGAACUGGCAAGUGCAGUGCCGCCUCUUCCUUCACCGCAGACCACCGAGGCUCCCCUGGGACCAGCCUCCAGGAUGGGUGGGGCGCCGAGAGGCAGCCAGCGUUGCUAUCUCUCUGGCUUGACCUCUCUUCUAGGUCAGAGGACAAGAGGGAAGGGCACUGGGAGACUCCAAGGCUAGAUGGGGCCAGCCCUGUUCCAGUUUCCCCUCAAUGGGGUUCCCUUGCUCAGACUAAGGAAGAACCGUGACUCACUUCCUGCCUCGUUGGGUCUGACUGCAGAAGUAUUGUCUCUACAACAGUGGCUGCUGCUGGUGGGGCUACCCCAGUGUGGCCCCUACCAGUCAGUCCCUUGUUGGGGAAAGUUCCCACUCCCAGUCUUCUCCCCCAGCUAAGUUUUCAGAACCCCUCAUUCUUCCCCAGGUUUCCGGGUUUUGCAGCAUUUGUAAGGAUGCCCGUAUGGUACCUUAUCCUAUUAACUGAGUAUUGUCUCCAUUUCAUUUUU